UCGGACUGAAAAUGGUUUCAGAUGCCACAAUAGUCUGAGAUCAGAUAACUGAGCCUAAAGUAUUGUGGUACGUAAAGCUUAUCACCUGCUCUUCUGUUGGCAGAGCGAUAAAACCCAUGUACCCACAAAA